rnacentral:tRNA from 1 species
GGGUGGGUAGCUCAGUGGUUAGAGCACUGCUCUGAUAAAGCAGGGGUCGGAGGUUCGAAUCCUCCCUCACCCA